rnacentral:rRNA from 1 species
UACGUAGGGUGCGAGCGUUAAUCGGAAUUACUGGGCGUAAAGCGUGCGCAGGCGGUUGUGCAAGACAGAUGUGAAAGCCCCCGGCUCAACCGGGGAAGUGCCUUUGAUACUGUGUGUCUCGAGGGGGAUAGGGGCGUGCGGAACUUCCGGUGGAGCGGUGAAAUGCGUAGAUAUCGGAAGGAACACCGGUGGCGAAAGCGGCGCGCUGGAUCCCUUCUGACGCUGAGGCGCGAAAGCCAGGGGAGCGAACGGG